rnacentral:lncRNA from 10 species
UCUCCCUUCUGGACACGUGUCUCUCUCCUUUCAGUAUGAGUUUUGUGCAUUUCCAUGCUUUGUUGCUGACUUGCGAUAUUAACUUAACAAGAGUGAGAGGUGAGCCUAUUAGCACACUUUUGGUGAAUUGGUAAAAGGAUUUAGAGGGUGAAUCACCACGCUGGUUCAUGAGGUUGAAAGGGCUUUGGGAGCCACUGGGGAUUUGGUAAUAUUUACCGCAAUUUCUGACGCAUCAUCUCUUUCCUCUUCACUCAUGAAAAAUGCAGACGCCUUCAGGGAGGAGGUCCCAGUCGAGCUUGACAGCAUUCUGGGAACACAAGGAGGGACCUGUAGUCAAAAUGCACAAAUCUGAAGGAGGCCUUUGUGCACAGAAGCUGUCCUGCCUGUAAAUGUCCCCAGUCACCAGAUUAGUGCCAAUUUAUUUUCCAGUGAAGACACCAGGGGUCUGGGGGUGGGGUGGAGUUUGCAGGAGGGAGCAAAAAGGAAAAGGCAUACUUAGCACCAACCACAUGAGAGCCCUGCUCUGAAGUAACGGCCAAAUGAGCGUCCACUGAGUGUCUGCUGAUGGGCGUGUGCUGAUGCCUCCGUUAGAUGGGCAGGGUAAAAAGGAGGACAAGAAUGAAUACUUGGGUAUAAUCUGCUCUUGCUGUUGGGUAAGGCAGUUCCUCUCUGAUGCCCUGCUCUCAGCAUUUGUAUUCUCUGGCAGCUCUUCAGAUGAGGAAGCUGAGACACAAUCACGGAAGAGCAAGAUUUAAAAGCCGGCAGUCUGACUCCUGAUCUCUCACUCAUCCACUACUGUAGACAGCCUUCUCUGUGUUUCAUUAGCACAUAACAAGAAUUCAUGCUCUCGGAGUACAAAGCAGGGUUUGUAAUAUCAAUAAAAGAGACACUUUCAUAGUGUUUUAGCUGAGUCUUGAGGAGAAAAGUAGAGUUUUAGUGAAGGAAGAAAGAAAGGCACUACAUGCUGAUUGUAUGUUUGAAGGCGCUGCUGUUAAGAGGUGAAGAUGCUGUUGUGGAAGAUGAAUCUGGGAUGGACUAAGGAUGGAACACUAACAUUUAAAGAAUGGAGGAAGAAAAGCAGUUGUGGAGAGUGAGAAAGACUAGAGAUAAAGCAGAAAAAAUCCUAGAGGGUUUAGUAUCAUGACCAGGAACUAGGCAUUUCAAAAAGGAAGAAACGAUCAACAGUGAUGAAUGAGAAGAGCUGGAAGGAAUGUAGAUGGAGAAAAGCCUAGAGAUUUGUUACCUAGGACACUAGUAAUGACCUCAGAGAAUGCAGAAUGGUAGAGGUGGAAGCAAAACUCAGAGGAUUAUUGAAAAAAAUGAGAAAAGUAGAAAAGUGGAAGCAGGAAGUGCAGACAUUUCCUAUACCAAUGUAGACAUAUUUGUGUUUAUAUACAUACACAUAUUCAUGUGUAUUCCUAGUUUCAAUAAUGCACAAUGUUGAGGUUAACCUUAAAAAAAGAUUAAUUUAGCAAAAGAUAGAAAAGCAGAUCUGAAAAAAGAAUGUAUUCCUUGCCAUUAUAGACUAUGCUUAAUAAGUAAUACUUAGUUUAGUAGAUUGUAGCUUGUGACAACAUGAGAAGUGCAUCCAGUAGAUUCAUAGUAGUUCUUACUGGGGUACCUGCUUAUAUUGUUGCUAGCAAACUAUUUGGGCAUGUUAUUUUUUGUAUCUGGACUAGUUCCUUAUCUGCCAAGAACUAAAUGAUUAAGUCCCAUCUAACAUUUUAGGAUGCUCUGAUCUCCUUUUGACUUAUAGAAAUCACCAAAGUUAGACAGCUAAUGACCACUCUUUUUAAUAUUUCCUCCUUCAUGACAUGGGAAAUGAUUUUUAACGCCACUUUAGCCCAAUAAUUCAGACAUCUCACAUUGUAUAUGCACGUGUGUGUUCAUUUCAGUGCUAUUCACAACAGCAAAAACACAGAAAAAACUUAGGUGCCCCUCAGUGGUGGACUGGAUAAAGAAAAUGUGGCACCUGUACACCAUGGCAUACUAUGCAGCCAUAAAAAAGAAUGAAAUCAUGCCCUUUGCAGCAACAUGGAUGCAGCUGGAAGCCAUUAUCCUAAGUGAACUAACUCAGAAAAUCAAAUACUGCAUAUUCUCACUUUUAAGUGGGAGAUAAACAUUGGGUACUCAUGGAUAUAAAGUUAAAAACAAUAGACACUGGGUUCUAGUAGAGGGUGGAGGGUGGGAGACCAGUAACGGUCGAAAAACUACCUGUUGGGUAUUAUGCUUAUUACUUGGGUGACAGGAUCAUCUAUAUACCCCAAACCUCAGCAUCACACAAUAUACUCAUGUAAUAAACCUGCACUUGUACCCCCCCGAAUCUAAAAGUCAAAAUUAUGUUUUAAAAAAGAAAAUAUCUCAGAGUCUUGUCUUCUAGAUUUUCUUCAUUUCAACAGUUUGCCUUCUAUUCUUUUUCAGUUGCUUAGAUUUAAACUUCCUCAGAGUCUCAGUGAAAAGGACGAGUUUAUUCAGCUGGAAGAAUUGAACCUUGAAAGUAUACCCUUUAACCUUAAGUUUUAAAACACUGGGUUACAAAUAAGAAUAUAAAGUUUUAUUCAUCUCUAAACAUACUAGCAAAGCAACUGAUCUUUUAAACAGAAAAUUAUCAAUCACUAAGGACGCUACCAAAAAUAGAAAUAUUUAAACAUUGUAAUCAGACACCUCUAGUGAUUUGUGAAUAUCUGGAAGUCCUACUGAACCAUCAGCUAUUUGACAUUAUGUAGAGUUAGCUUGAGUCUAGGUGACUUGUUCCUUGGAAAGGCUUAGUUAGCACGGACCUGAAGUACUUCUAGUAUGAAUUCUAUCCUAAUGUCUUUAAGAGCAUUGGGUGGAAAAGAGAUGUACCAACACACACAAUGUUCUGCACAUGGAGUCAUUAAUGAAUAAAUUGGCUGAAGCACCUAGAAAGGUUUCAAAAUGCCCAAUAUCAUCUUACUCAAGGAAAUUUGUUUCCUCGAUGGAAAGCAUGCCAAAAACAAAAAACAAAAACAAACAAACAAAAAAACUAGUAGAACAAACAAGUGGAGAAAAUAGAAAAGCGGAGAAUAGCAGAAACCUUGAGUCCCUUUAUGUUCCUUAAAAAGUUUUUGAUUAUUUUUGUUUUAAUCCAUUCAGCAAGUAUUUAUGGAGUGCCAUCUGUAUGCUAUGAUAAGCUCUAGGGUUACAUUAAUAGAUAAAACAGCCCCCUACCCCUAUCAAAAAAAAAUCCCUACUCUCAUUAGCUUCUUUUAAAUUUAUACCAUUGUUUAAUGGGAAUGAGCCCAGUUGAAUUUUUUCAGUAACAUAUUUUAAAAUAAGCUUUAUUUUCAAAAACAAUUUUAGAUUUACAAAAAAAUUGAAAAGAUAGUUCAGAGAGUUCUCAUCCACUCCACAUAGUUUUCCCUAUUGUUAUCUUUCAUUAGGAUAUAUUUGCCACAAUUAAUGUGUCAAUAUUGAUACAUUAUUUUUAACUAACACCUAUAGUUUAUUUAUAUUUUUUAUAUUUUUCAUUUGUGUCUUUUUUCUGUUCCAGGCUACCAGCCAAUCCAGAAUACCACAUUACAUUUAGUAAUCAGGUUUCUAUCACUUCUUAGGCACUUUAUACAAGUCAUUUCAUUUAGUCCUAACGAGAACCCUGUAAG